UACGGGGGGGGCAAGCGUUGUUCGGAAUUACUGGGCGUAAAGGGCGCGUAGGCGGCCUUCUAAGUCGGACGUGAAAUCCCUCGGCUUAACCGAGGAACUGCGUCCGAGACUGAAAGGCUUGAAUCCGGGAGAGGGAUGUGGAGUUCCAGGUGUAGCGGUGAAAUGCGUAGAUAUCGGAAGGAACAUCAGUGGCGAAAGCGACUUCCUGGACCAAUACUGACGCUCAUGUGCGAAAGCGUGGGGAGCAAACAGG
rnacentral:rRNA from 1 species